CGCUUUCUUCUGAAAUCGCUUUUUUUUUUUCCCCCCGGCGAGUUCUAUCUUCCGAUUCCUAGGGUUUAUUCUCUUUCAAUUUGAAUCGUCGAUUUCAAUCGAAGAAGCUAAAGUGAUGUUAAGCAGUUGCGUCUUUGUGAUCCGUAUGCGCUGCUUGAGGAUGCGAACACCGAGUCCUGUGUUUCGCCCGGAGAUUCUGUGGAGCCAUGGAUCGUUCUGUUUCUAUGCAUGGAUCCGAUUCAAAUAGGACGAAGAAGAGGGGAAAAGGGGAGGGUGAUUGUGAUUUUUGGGCUUACCAGAACUGGCAAAAGCAGACCCGCCAUGGAGCCUGCGAAAAGCUUAUUAAUGGCGAAAUCAUCAGUGCUGACUCCGUCCAGGUCUAUUUCAAUCGAUUUGUUCUAUAUGAUGCGAUGUCUUUGAAUCAUUGCUGCCUCAGUUUGGUUGAAGUGAAAUUGAUUUUGAAGUUUCGUUUGUGGAUAGGGAAGAACACUGCAAUUUUUGGUUUCUUGGAAAAAUGUAGCCUUGAAUUGACUUGAUGGAGUUGGUGUUGAAAGUUAUAUGAGAUUUUGAACUUCCACUCUUAACUCCAAGAAAAGAGUAGGAACCAGUUGCAACAUGGUGCGAUCUUGCUUAUAGAGAAAUGGGAUAUAGACUUCCUCUGAUGGGUUUAUAGCCUUAUAACAUAUCAUCAAUAUGAAAUUGUCUUUUGAAAUGCUGAUGAAUUUUCUCUUUUGCUGUGGCAAAUUAUGGAACUUUGAAUCUGUUCCGUAAGAAAAUACAGUCCUGAGUUCUUACUCCGAGUUGCAGGAUCAUCCAAGCCAUCAACGAGCGAUAGAUAUGUAUCUCAUCGAGAUAUUUGUUAAGCUUUAUUUGUUUGUAUUCAACUCUUAAUCUCUGUGGUGAGAUUAGACUUGAAAGGAUAUUGCUUAGCUCUGCUCAUGUACUAGAUAAUGGGUGAGCUUUAUUGUCGAUAUUUUGCAUCCAUCUAUUACUUCAGGUUCUUGACAUAGACCUUCUUCCAAAUUCAAAUUCUGCAACUCGAGCCGUUGGGUGCAGACAGGUAUGAAGUUAUGGAAAGUGAGUGAUGGAAGUAGACGAUUGCACUGAUGAAACUCUCUUUUACAGAUGCUCCUUGUAAAAUCUGAAAUCCCAGGGGAGUUAGAAAGUAAUGUUCAACUCUUUCUCUAUUUGCACAAAAUGAAAUGUCGCUCGUUAUCGUACCUUUUCUUUUCUUCCUUUGUGAUGACUUCCCCGAAAGUAGCUAAAAUCUGUACAAUUUGUAUGCUUGGACCGCGAAACUUGACAUGGUUUCGUAAUGAGCCCAUCUAUACCAUUGGCUCACUGCCUCUAGUACCAUCGGAGACGAUACAUGACUUCAUUUUGUGAUGCAUAUGGAGAUCAAGCUCGAAACUUUGGUGGUGCCCGAGUUUCUGAAAACGAGCAAAGACACGCAAGAGGGUCAAUCUUCCUAUGAGCUCAAGGAAUUCUGCCCGGAAAUUAGGUAUCCAGAUGAAACAGACCCUUUUCUGUAUGCCUCUUCUAGUUUGUUGUUCAUCCGCUGGCUUCUCUCGGUUAAGAUUUUGGAAAGGCAGUCUAUACUCGAUAAAUAUUUAUGAUCCUAAGACUAAAGUCAUAUGGUAGGCAUAUCAUGACAGUUCAAAUUAGGCCGAGAAAUGAUAAUGAGAACCCAAGGACUUGAUAAUUAGAACCCGAGGACGCAGGACAGAAGUUCCAUUCUUCGAAUUCUGCUUUGAACUUGUGUUCUAUACUGUUCUCUGCAAAACCCUAAAGGGGAAAGAAUCCAACAUAAUUUGCUGCAACAAAGGUGAAAGUAUCAUGAGUUCUUAUCAAUGGAAAACCAUUGAAACACACUUUUGAAGUGUUUGUGUUUUUUCAUUUGUUCUGUCAUUAGAUUUGGUCAAAUCUUAAUGUUAUGGAAGAGGUGUCAGUAAUGUUUUCUUCA